UUGUUCUUCAUCCUCAAAAGAACAAAAUGUUUGAAAUUUUAGUUGCCCCCUCCAGCAGUGCUUAAGAUGUUUUCUCCCAGGGUAUUCCUUCUCAACCUAACAGCAAGGAGUGUGGCUACUUUAUCAUGCGAUACAUGAGAGACAUCAUUGAGGAUAAGGACUUUUCAUUUGUUAACAAGUGGGAGAGGAGAAGCAACCAUGUUUAUACCCAAUUGGAUAUUGAUGAGAUGAGGAAUGAGUGGGCUAGGUUUGUGGUUAAUAGAUAUGUGUAGAAGCCGUUGCAUAUGUUUUUGGAAAGCAUGAUGAAUUUUUGCUUGUGCUGAUAGAUAUCGAUCACAUGAAACAAUUAUCAGCUUUUGAUUCAUGCAUGCAUUGGUCUAGCUAGACUAGGAAUGCUUUCUUUGUUUGUUUGGUAGUUUAAUUAUCUACUUUGGAUGUUUAGUUGUACUUGACAAAUUCAACUUAUAUAGUUACACUAAUGAUAUGGAUCAA